rnacentral:rRNA from 1 species
UACGAAGGGGGCUAGCGUUGUUCGGAAUCACUGGGCGUAAAGCGUAUGCAGGCGGAUCAUUCAGUCGGGAGUGAAAUCCUGAGGCUCAACCUCAGAACUGCCUUCGAUACUGAUGAUCUUGAGUCCGGGAGAGGUGAGUGGAACUGCGAGUGUAGAGGUGAAAUUCGUAGAUAUUCGCAAGAACACCAGUGGCGAAGGCGGCUCACUGGCCCGGUACUGACGCUGAGAUACGAAAGCGUGGGGAGCAAACAGG